rnacentral:rRNA from 1 species
AGAAUGUGCGAAAUGCUCCGGCGCCAUAGGAUGUGGCUGCGGCCGAUUAGGUAGACGGUGGGGUAACGGCCCACCGUGCCGAUAAUCGGUACGGGUCAUGAGAGUGAGAGCCCGGAGACGGACUCUGAGACACGAGUCCGGGCCCUACGGGGCGCAGCAGGCGCGAAACCUUUACACUGCACGACAGUGCGAUAGGGGGACACCGAGUGCGAGGGCAUAGAGCCCUCGCUUUUCUGAACCGUAAGGAGGUUCAGGAACAAGGGCUGGGCAAGACCGGUGCCAGCCGCCGCGGUAACACCGGCAGCCCAAGUGAUGGCCGAUAUUAUUGGGCCUAAAGCGUCCGUAGCUGGCCGCACAAGUUCGUCGGGAAAUCCACUCGCUUAACGAGUGGGCGUCCGGCGAAAACUGUGCGGCUUGGGACCGGAAGAUCCAAGGGGUACGUCCGGGGUAGGAGUGAAAUCCCGUAAUCCUGGACGGACCACCGAUGGCGAAAGCACCUUGGAAGGACGGAUCCGACAGUGAGGGACGAAAGCUAGGGUCUCGAACCGGAUUAGAUACCCGGGUAGUCCUAGCCGUAAACGAUGCUCGCUAGGUGUGGCGCAGGCUACGAGCCUGCGCUGUGCCGUAGGGAAGCCGUGAAGCGAGCCGCCUGGGAAGUACGUCUGCAAGGAUGAAACUAA